AUUGAACGCUGGCGGCAGGCCUAACACAUGCAAGUCGAACGAGUGGCGGACGGGUGAGUAAUGUCUGGGAAACUGCCCGAUGGAGGGGGAUAACUACUGGAAACGGUAGCUAAUACCGCAUACCAUCGGAUGUGCCCAGAUGGGAUUAGCUAGUAGGUGGGGUAACGGCUCACCUAGGCGACGAUCCCUAGCUGGUCUGUGAGGAUGACCAGACACCCUGGAACUGAGACAGGGUCCAGCCUCCUACGGGGGGCAGCGGGGGGAAAUAUUGCACAAUGGGCGAAAGCCUGAUGCAGCAAUGCCGCGUGUAUGAAGAAGGCCUUCGGGUUGUAAAGUACUUUCAGCGAGGAGGCGUUACUCGCAGAAGAAGCACCGGCUAACUCCGUGCCAGCCGCGCGGUAAUAC
rnacentral:rRNA from 1 species